CGGGGCGUAGCGCAGCCUGGUAGCGCAUCUGCUUUGGGAGCAGAGGGUCGCAAGUUCGAAUCUUGCCGCCCCGA
rnacentral:tRNA from 2 species